AUUGAACGCUGGCGGCAUGCCUUACACAUGCAAGUCGAACGGCAGCACGGGUGCUUGCACUUGGUGGCGAGUGGCGAACGGGUGAGUAAUAUAUCGGAACGUACCUUAUUGUGGGGGAUAACGCAGCGAAAGCUGUGCUAAUACCGCAUAAUCCCUAAGGGGGAAAGCGGGGGACCGUAAGGCCUCGCGCAAUUAGAGCGGCCGAUACCUGAUUAGCUAGUUGGUGAGGUAAAGGCUCACCAAGGCAACGAUCAGUAGCUGGUCUGACAGAAGGAUCAGCCAAACUGGGACUGAGACACGGCCCAGACUCCUACGGGAGGCAGCAGUGGGGAAUUUUGGACAAUGGGGGCAACCCUGAUCCAGCAAUGCCGCGUGAGUGAAGAAGGCCUUCGGGUUGUAAAGCUCUUUUGUCAGGGAAGAAACAGCAGCUCUAACACAGUUUGCGAAUGACGGUACCUGAAGAAUAAGCACCGGCUAACUACGUGCCAGCAGCCGCUGUAA
rnacentral:rRNA from 1 species